AUUUUAAUAGCAUUUUACAAUAUUUUAAUCAUGAUACCUAUUCUAAAAUCUAAAGGUAUAUGUUCUCAUCAUUAACAACAAUAAAACUAAAUACAUUUAGCUGCUUUAUCACACUGAAACAAUUCCUACUGGUUGUUUUACUUUAUUGCUUUGAUCAUGAUUGGUUAAUCUGGCUGUCAUCCAGGAAACUGGACAGUGAAUCGGUUCGCGCCUUUCUACAUUUGAAAAUAUGACCGUUAUUAUCGUUCUUUCUGUGAGUGAGGCGGCUGACUGUGAGCUGCUGCUGUAACUGCUCGGUCGGUCCCGAAUUAUUUUAUAUUUGCCUGUUAAUUAUUUUUUUUUUGAGCGAAUUUGAGUCGUGACAUGUCAAUGGAGAACAAAAACUGUAAUGUGAACACAAGAAGUGUCAGAUGUGUUCUGCGAGGUCCUGCAAACAUACUGGCAAACUGAGGUAAGAAAAUCGCUAUCUUUAUUAUCUUUUGAAAAUAGUAAAGUAAGUUAUAUCGUUACGUUACCAGAGUUUACAAAUGGGUAGCUUAAAGGACAUGUAACCUGCAGAAGAUAAAUAAAUACCUGUGUGUGUAUUUUUGUAUUGCUUUAUCACAGAUGCUCAAGUUAGAUGCUCAUCUGAUGUUGUUGUGUUGCUGGUAAAUUAUGUGUUAAUGUCUGUAUUUUAGAGAUUUUUCCACAUUUUCCUGAUAUGAAUCCCAUGGAUUAGAGUCAUCAAGGAUCCAGCUUUUUAUUGAAACAUUGGACAGUACAGAAAGCACACAAGUGGGAGAGAGUGGAGGGGACGGCAUCAGAAAGGACCUAGGGCUGGGACUCUUUCAAGGAUCACCUGAAGCACAACCACACUAUAUGCACGAGGCUGUUGGUUCUAACAUUUUAGGUUCACCUUCGGUGGAAAUCACAUUCCGCGUUCCCUGCGGUAAAAAAAGACACAGUCCGGGGGUUCCCGUUAGAAAUGCCCCCCGGGGUGCCCCCUCUAACGCUGGUUCCUUGGAAUUAUCCUAACCUUCCCUGCCCUUACAGCGUCCCUGGUUGCCGGUUCCAUUCUCGAACUGUUCAACACAUUUUCACUGCACAAAUGUACACAUCUCUUGUAAUGAGACACAUUACUAAAACAUGUUUUUUACAGAAACUGUAGUUUUCCACCAAAAUAAAAGAUCAGCUGGUUUCAGUCAUAAAGGUACAAGGGUUUCUCUUGCAAGUGCCACACAAAAUAUGCAUUUAUAUGCAAAAAUAUGGCAAAUUAUUUUACAAAAACCUUUAAAUAUUAUUGUAUUUGAAUUGUUCUUCUACGUGUUUUUAACAAUACAUCCAUACAUACUCUGCAAAAUAAAGUUUGGGAUUAUUUUCAUCUGUUUUAUACAGUACGUUUCCAAAAUAAAACUGCUGUUUUACAAUUCUGAGCAUGUGGUAGUUUAUUGAAGUUGAUUGUAAAGCCAUUGCUGCCAGUCAUUUGAUUUUUAGCCUUUAUAAUGUACAGUGUUGAUCUAAAUGCAAACUAGGCUCUAAUUGAACAUACAGUUGUGUAUCUAUACAUGGUGCAAGGUACGACGGUGAAACAACGUCGUGUUAUCAACGUUGAUUCACUUUUCAAAAUCAACACCUAAUUCAACGUUAAGCCAACGUCUACAGAACGACCAUAAUUCACCCAUGAUGAAGGUAAGACGGUUGAAACGGCGUCGCGAUUUCAACAGUGAAUCAAUGUCGUAAUUUCAACGGUGAAUCAACGUCACAAUAUCAACGUUGAUCCAAUUUGCAAAAUCGAAAGGUAAUUCAACGUUGAUUCAACCCUGGUACCUGACGUUGUUUCAACGUUGAAAUGCC
ensembl:lncRNA